AGAGAGGGUGGUAGUGGCCAGGGAUCCUGCUCAGGAGGGUCCCCCCAGGAUGGGCUCAGGGAAGUAACUCUGGCAGGUGGGAUGGAUCAAGAGCAAUGUCCACCGGGAGCCCCCAGGACCCACUCCCGGUGCAGCAGUGAGAGGGUAGCUGUGCAGGCGGGGGCUGCCUCUCCUUGAACCGCUGGAGGAUCCCUCUCGCCGGCAGGCCCUGUCCUGAGUGUGCAGCCCACGGGCAGGCCCCGGCCUCGGAGGGCUAACACCUGAGAGCCGCUCUGGAACCGGUGCCCCUUCUCUCCUCCUCCAGCCCAAGGGGGUGGGCGGCGCGCGAGAAAGCGGAGGAGCGCAGGAAGCCGCGGGGAGCUUCCCCUUUAAGAGCUCUUAUGGCCGCCGCCCAGGCCCGGGCGCCCGGGGGAGGGAAGAUGUCGAGAAAGAUUCCCCGCGAACUUCCCCAGCCUUUGUUCGGGCGGAGGCCGAGGCCGGAGACCGACCGGGCGGGCGCAGGGCCGAGCGCUCCGGUGGCGGCCGUGGCGCGAUCCCCGGCCCGGGGCGCCCCCUCCCGGGCCCGGCCGCUGACCCCCGGCCCGGGCCCGCAUCCCCGGCGCGGCCGCGGCGGCGCCCUUACCAGCUCGUCCCGGGAUCCCUGCGGAGCUGGCGGGCGGCAGCCGCGGUCAAGUUCAUGUCCGGCCCACGGGCUGUCCGAGGUCAUGUGCCAUGUGCAAAACAGGAGAAUUUGCUGACCUUGCCCCGGUCCUGGAAAAUCGGGCCUCCUCUUCUCAGGAGCUCCCCAACUGCUGCCUGCCAUGUUCUGCCCGGCUUCGAACCCCUCCAGGCCAGAGUCCUGGGGUCACGUCUGGGUAGGGGGAGGCACCCAAGUGGCCCUGGGCCUGGGAACCUGUGGCGCUGCCAAGCCCAGUCCCUGUAAGGGCCCUGUGAGCUGGAACGGGAGACUCAGGGGCACCGGGUACCCAGCUGCCCAUCUGCCUUGGGACGCUCCUGCACUGCCCUGUUCACCCUUUUCUGCAAGAUGUGCUCACGGAGAACACACUCAGGCCAGCUGGCUAAUCCAGCGCCCUGUGUACAACAGGGAGAGGGUAUUGUUUGUAUUUUUCAAAAAAAAUGAUCAGGGUUGGGGGAAUAUGUUAUCCCUUGUCCCCAAAAGUGGGUGGUGCUUCAGAGUGCUGGAGCCCUUCCUGCAAUACUCUCCAAAUGACUUCUCAAAUGUGCUCUUUUCUGGAAUCAGUGCUGGACAUCCACAUGUGGUUCAUGGAGGAGGAGGAUCGCACCCUCCUCCACCUGGACACUGCCUGAACUUGACACUGGGCUGAGGACAUAGAGGUGGUGGAGGUGGUCAGAUUGUGCCUGGGGCUAGCUGGGGCAGUUUACAGAGCUGCAGACACUGGUCAGCUUACAUACCUAGGCUGCCAAUUGGUCCCUACUGACCACAUUUGGCCUCAUCUGGGGAGAAUAUCCACCUGCCACUGAUGCCCAAGAUCCUUUGCCAGAGUGGUGGAAGGAACUUUCUUAUUGUUUUUUCACAGGAGCAAGCAUGGACAUCAGCUUCUCUUAUUUCUCUCCAGGACUGAGGGUCAGCCAUGGGCACUCCAGCAAAGCAACUGGAGUUCCAUCAAAGCUCGGUGCCAGACUGUGACAUUUCACCAAAACUCGCAGCAGCCAUCCCUCGCUUUCCAUGAAGGCUCCCUAUGCAGAGAGGCCUGGCUCUUUCAGGGAAGUGAAGCCUGCUCUCUCCCAUGGUCUUCUCCCUGAGGGACUCCAUUCCUGAGCUGCAACCACUGCAUUUUUAGGACUGGAAAAUGUGUCACGAGCUGUACAUCUUCCUAAAGCCUGAACCUAUAUACUUUCAUGUGGCCACUGGUGCUCAGUGUGUCCCCAAAGGGGAUGUCACCCUAGUUCCAUCAAAACCCAUCAAGACCUUGCCUGGGCUGGCUUCCUAGAUGUAUGGCCUCUGUGUCACCCUGUGUUUAUUGCACUGCUGUCUUCAUCUUGAAAUUCCAAAUAAUUUUUGAACAAGGGCCCUACAUUUCCAUUUUGUCCUGGGCCCCCCAAAUUAUGUAUUUUUGCCUCGAGUUAUAACAGUGUCAUAAAGUAAAAACAAAACAAAACAAAAAACCUGACUUUUAUAUUUCCCUUAUGCAAUUCUCCUUAUAGAAAUAAUUCCUGAUUCUAUGCAAAUAAGAUAAAAAUAUUUUCAUUGAAGAUCAUUGUAUUUAGGACAGAUGUU